UCCCGGGUAGCUCAGCUGGUAAAGAAUCCGCCUGCAAUGCGGGAGACCUGGGUUCAAUCCCUGGGUUGGGAA
rnacentral:tRNA from 1 species